GACGAACGCUGGCGGCGUGCUUAACACAUGCAAGUCGAACGGUAAGGCCCUUUCGGGGGUACACGAGUGGCGAACGGGUGAGUAACACGUGGGUGAUCUGCCCUGCACUUUGGGAUAAGCCUGGGAAACUGGGUCUAAUACCGAAUACACCCUGCUGGUCGCAUGGCCUGGUGGGGGAAAGCUUUUGCGGUGUGGGAUGGGCCCGCGGCCUAUCAGCUUGUUGGUGGGGUGAUGGCCUACCAAGGCGACGACGGGUAGCCGGCCUGAGAGGGGGUCCGGCCACACUGGGACUGAGAUACGGCCCAGACUCCUACGGGAGGCAGCAGUGGGGAAUAUUGCACAAUGGGCGCAAGCCUGAUGCAGCGACGCCGCGUGAGGGAUGACGGCCUUCGGGUUGUAAACCUCUUUCAACGCCGACGAAGGGUGACUGACGGUAGGCGUAGAAGAAGCACCGGCCAACUACGUGCCAGCAGCCGCCGUA
rnacentral:rRNA from 1 species